rnacentral:rRNA from 1 species
GACGAACGCUGGCGGCGUGCCUAAUACAUGCAAGUUGAGCGAUGAAGAUUGGUGCUUGCACCAAUUUGAAGAGCAGCGAACGGGUGAGUAACGCGUGGGGAAUCUGCCUUUGAGCGGGGGAUAACAUUUGGAAACGAAUGCUAAUACCGCAUAACAACUUUAAACAUAAGUUUUAAGUUUGAAAGAUGCAAUUGCAUCACUCAAAGAUGAUCCCGCGUUGUAUUAGCUAGUUGGUGAGGUAAAGGCUCACCAAGGCGAUGAUACAUAGCCGACCUGAGAGGGUGAUCGGCCACAUUGGGACUGAGACACGGCCCAAACUCCUACGGGAGGCAGCAGUAGGGAAUCUUCGGCAAUGGACGAAAGUCUGACCGAGCAACGCCGCGUGAGUGAAGAAGGUUUUCGGAUCGUAAAACUCUGUUGGUAGAGAAGAACGUUGGUGAGAGUGGAAAGCUCAUCAAGUGACGGUAACUACCCAGAAAGGGACGGCUAACUACGUG